GCAGGCUAGUUUUAUCAACUGCAGAAUUUCUACUUUCUUAUGAAAACUGAGUUUUAGAGAAAGGUUUCUGCAAAAUGUCUUGGAUGCUUGCCACAUCUUUCCUCUUCUUUUUCUCAGGAACUUCAGCUUCAAAAGAAAAGAUGGUUAAACAGGAACUAAUUGUUAUCAUUGCUGAGGAAGGGGAGUCUGUGAGUAUGGUCUGUGAGUUUAGCCAUCCGGAAAUUAUAGGGAUGUAUCUGAAACGAACCCUGGGAAAGCCCAUGGAUGUGCUGUAUGCCUCAGAGCAUGGUGAAAACAAGGCACAAGAUCCUGAAUAUAAAAAUCGCACAGAAUGUUCUGUGCUGAACAAUACAGCAACAAUAAUACUGCGACAGCUGAAGAAGAAUGACAGUGAUGUAUAUGUGUGCAUGGGAAGUCUGCUAAUAAACAAGGAGCCCAAGGAAGUGAACACUGGCAGUAUCAUUUUGGCAGUGAAAGAAACUUCACAAAAGAAUUCCUCAUCUCCAUGGAUGGUGUAUACCUUCAUCUUGCUGUCCUUGCUGAUGGUUUCAAUGCUGGGAUUUUUAUUUCUAUCUCCUAUAAAUAUCAAGAAAUACUGCAAAAAAGGAAAGAAAAGGGAAAUGCAAAAUAUAGUCUAUGAAGACAUGACAUGCAGCUUGCGGCGCAACACAGUGCCUGAACCAAAUCUGUAUAAAGAAUAAUAUAGCUGAAGUCUUCUGGAAUUCCAAUUCAUUUUCCUAUUUGUUUUAGAAUUUCAAUUCAUUUUGGAAGACAAUCCAAAUGUAUACAAUCUGAGCAGCUGUUAGUAUUUUUUGUAUACUGGAGCCCUUUCACAAAAUGCAAUUAUAACACUAUGAUUCUGGUUAAGUACCAUGGUUCCAUCCCAAGGAAUCCUGGGAUUGGCAGUGGAGGGUCGAGAAUUUUGAUUCCUUAGCCAGGGGGUUCCUCUGGUACAUCUGACCAAACUUCCAAUCCACAGGAUGCUGCCAUGGCCAUUAAACUGGAAACCAUAGUGCUAAAAUUAUGUAGUGUGGAAAGGCCCUUCAUUUGUGUUGGCUGAGCAGAGUUUGGAAUUUGAAUCCUGUUCAAAAUCUGCACUCUAAUGUAAAUUUAAACCUCCUCCUCCUCCUUGAUAUACACAAUUGAUAUAUUUUUUAUGCUUCAAACUGAAUUGUAGCACUCAGGUUGCUUAAUACACUCUUUUACAUGAGGUUCAAGAGCUCUUUGCUUGUUAGGUUGUUGUUAUUGUAUGCCUUCAAGUCAUUUCCUUGAUAUGUAGCCUGUUAAAGUUAUAACAUUCUUAUGGCACUAUAUCUUUGCUAUGUGCUGUUAACAUAUGACAUUGCAUUACAUUAUUUACAGCAUUUAAUUUUGCAUUUAAGGGGGAUGGAGGUAGGAGUGAAAAAAGCCAUUAUAGUUUGAUAGUUUUUUGUGGGUUUUUCAGGCUAUGUGGCCAUGUUCUAGCAGAGUUUCUUUCUGACAUUUCGCCAGCAUAUGUAGCUGGCAUCUUCACAGAAUGCUUUGCCUGGAAAAAGUUGGCUGUAUAUAUACUGUGAAUGCAGGAGUGAUUUGCAUGUGUAUUGUUCAUUGUUAAUGGCCGGCCCCAGGCUGGGAGUCUAAUGCAAAAGAGGAUUAAUGUCUGCUAACUGGUGAUCAUUAUCUGCUGGGAAAGCCCCUGAUUCUGAGUGGUUUCCCAUUUGCUGAGUCCUUAUUUUGCUAUUCCUCAGGACUGGUAGCCAAAUUUUGUUCACUUUAAGGGUUUCUUCUUUCUGGUUAAAAUUGUCCAGGUGUUUGUGGAUUUCAAUGGUUUCCCUGUGUAUCUUUACAUGGCAGUGGUUGAGUUGUAUCCUUUUUUUUAUGACCUUCACAGCUUGGGCUGAAGAUGCAACUGAAGGAAGAAGAAAUCAUCCUAUUGGGAUUGCAUUAGAGGCCACUAAAUAUAAGAUUUGUAUUGGAAAUAUCUAAUAAUGCUGACAUAUUCAGAAUGUUGCCUAGAUAUCUUGUAGUUAUGGCUUUGCCAUUUUUCAUUUCCUAGGCAAAACUUUGUGCACUGCCUUAUAAUACUAGUUAACACUGAGGCAACUGGAAUAGUAGUUAAAUGUGUAGAUAAUAAUGUCACAAGAGUCGUACAGCUGUUUGUAAACAGCUUGGCUGAACAAGCAGAGUGAGGUAUGAAGUUUUUGUUCAUACAUGAUAGCCAUCAUACAGUCAUAGAGCUAAGGUAAGAUUAUCUGCAUAUGUUUUGAUGAAGCAGAGGAAAUGAAAAAAAAAUACAAUAAUAGUAAAAUAAAAUAUUAUAUAGAUGAAGGGAAAUGACUUCAUUUUUAGAAGCAAAAUAAAACAAUAUUUUAAAAUAAACGUGACUUUGAUCUGUCAAAUGGGAUGCUGAUAAAGACAGGGGCACAGAACAGUAGGUGACUGCAAUAUAGGAAGCAGUUCCAUAUAUAAUAAAGGUCCUCAGAAUCACUGUGAAUGUUUCCCCCCUGGUAAAAGCAACACAGCUCUCCAAAAACAUCUUCUGCUGGGAGUGUGCAGUCUCACAGUCAUGGGUAUGUGGAAAUUUGAACUUUUUCAUAACUGCUGCACAGGCCCUGCAGGAAAGCAACACUGAGACUAGAAAAAUACUUUUUUUGUACCUUAAUAUCCAGAAUCGUAAAGCCACAAUAUUCAGUAUCUAUGGUAGAGGGAUUCUGGUAAGUCUAGCCAAAGUAGCAAAAAAUUUCCAGGCUCUGCUGAGUAUAUUGACAUGGAUCAGAUAGAGACAUUUUGGGUGUUUCGAGGUGUGGAAGAAACAAAUGUCUCAGAAUGCCUCGUCUGCUUUAGUUCUGCACAUUCAAAAUAGAAUCUUCUGCCUUUCUCUUUUGCAGUGGGAUGAAUGAGCUCUCAGUGUUGUGUGGGGCAGAGUGAUGUAAAAUUUUGAUGAGUGGGACUUACAACAAAAUGGUGCAGCAUGUAGUGUUUUGGUUUAAGAUUUCUGACAAUGCGUUCUAUCCCACCCCCUUUUUUCCAUUUCACAUCCCUGACAGAAUUCUGGGUCUUGUGAAAGUGCUCCCCCCUAUUUCUCUCUACUUUGGUAUGCUGGCAAAGUUUAAGGUUUCCAAAAGCAGGGUGAGUAAAGUGUGUCCUCCCAGACAGUGUAUUGCAGCUUCCAUCAUCCCUAGCCAAUAGAGCCAAUGGUGAAGAAUUCUGGGAGUGCCACUGUAACAUCUGGAAAGCUGGUGUUUGCUUACCUCUAGAGACAAGAGACAAUUUGGGUACAAAAGGAUUGCCAUAUGGACAGUACAGAGUAGGAGAGUGCUCUAUGUAUUUAUAGGAAUAUGACCAGGCUUUGCAAGCAUUUUACUCUGUAGGGCUGAACUCCAAUUUGAAAGAUUCAUAGCUGCAUUCCAGCAGUGAGUGGGGCUUAGGACACAAGGUGUGGUCAAGAACAAGUAGGCAGGACUAUUGUGGCAAGGACAGAUGUGAUUCUUACCAAUCUGGAUUUUUUUUUACAUCAAAGAAACAAAGCUCAUUUCUAUGCAUGUCUACUUAGGAGAUAUCUGUAUUUCACAGAACAAACUUUCUGGGUAAAGAACCACCGAGAAGGUCACAGACCACAUUUUCCUGUCUGUAUUUCAAGAGUAUCAUGUAAGAGUAUUACUGUAUGGAUGCAAGACUUCCGAGUGACCAAGAGCAUUUAUACAGAUCACACCAUACCUGUUCGUUAAUAAGUGCAGCCUCUCCUAAUGUCAUUUCUUCUCAUUGCCUAUCCUGCUGAAUGAUGGGAGUUGUAGUCUAACACAUUUCAAUGAUGAUGGGUUGGGGAAAGAUGGACAUUAGUGAGAAGGUGGAUUCCACAGUUUUGUUAUGUGUGGCAUAAAUUCCUUGGAUUUAUCUCCAGAAUCUCUCACCAUUUAGCUUUAUUGGAUUGGAUUUCCUAAUACUGAGGGGGGGUGGGUAAUCUAUUGACAGUUCAUGGAUGAGGAAGAAGGGUCACCUCACAGUGGAAGGGUGGGUGCACACAAGUACAUACACACACACACAAAGCUCAUACUACAGGUCAGCAGUGCCUCCAUCUGAUAGCCUUCCUGCAAAACCUAACUGGAGCAUCAUGAAACAAAUUCUGCAUUUCCUUCCUUCCUUUUAUAACCCAUUUCCCCCCAAUAUACAGUUUACAGUGGAGAACUGAAAUACAGUUAAAUCAAUACUUGGUACAAACACUGAAAAACUAUUAAAUAGAGAAUUAUUAAAAUAUUUAAAACAGUUUAAAACAUAUACAGAACAAUAAAGGUCUUUGGUGAAGGGUGAAAAGAGACCAAAGAGGGGUCCAAGCUAGCUUAUGGAAGGGACUUCCAAAGUGUGAGGGCAGCCAUUAAAAGGUUCUCUCAUUUGUCUUGAUCAACUAUACUUGUGAUGGUGGCAGUAACAAGAGAAUGUCCUUCCUGGAGAGUUUGUUGAUUGUGCAAGCUUUUAGUCAGACAAGCCAUAGUCUGGAACUUGGAUUCUUCCAAGCAAUGCAUUAUAAUUAGUUUUCUUUAGUAAAAAUUACAUGAAUCUGAGUAAUAUUGGUAAUGAUUUCAAUUUUUAACCCUAAGAAAUGUUAUGAUAAUAAUUACAUUCCCUUGGGUUAAGGAGAAAGGCAGGAUAAAAAUAAAAUAAAAUCAAUAAAUAAACAAAUAAAUCAGAGUGGACUUGGAGGUGAUUCUGGGAUUUUUUGGUACUAAGAAAUGUUAUUCAAAUAAGUAAAUCUGACCAGGUUGAGGGUGAUUUCAUGUCUUCAUACUGAAAAAAAUUCAUUAUAAUAAUUUCAGGCACAACAGUUCAAGAAGGAUAAAAGCUGGAACAUGUUGAGAGAGGUGACCUAGAGAGUGAAAGUUCUGGAAACCGAGCCAUAUGGGGAAUGGCUUAGGGAGCUGGAUAUAGUUUGUGUGUCAUUUCCACUUCACUUUCCAAAGCUGUGUGUUCAAAAGGUGCUUCCUUGAAUGAAUAUGUAAUCUUUUCAUCUUUUGUAUUAUAGUUCUUCUGUGUACUGUUUCCUUCAUCUUUUUUUUUUCUUGAUCAUGUAGUGUGUUUUCCUGCUGAUCAUAUAGCAUCCUCACUCUUGGUUUUAAUUUCCCUUUGGCUUCUCAGAUCUUGCAGAUGAGGCCUCUUUCUACUUUUCAUUUUUUGUUAUUAUUUUUCUCUCUGCAUUGAAUAUAAUAGUACUUCCUUUGUCCCUGUGUACAAGUUGCUGAGCAGUUGUGUUCAGGAUUUUAUCUUUGUCACCUUUUUCUUUUGUUUCUUGCCUAUCCUUAACUGUUACAAGAGUUUGUCAUCCACUGAGUUAGUAUUUUGGACUAUGUUCUAGAAUACAGAGGUUUGGCCCUGAUUUCCAUUAUUUCCCUCCCCAACACUUGCAACAUCACUCUCAUUUAUUCUUCUACAACUAGUGCAGUUGGUAGUCAUGGUUAUCUGAAAUGUUGGUAUUGUGGGCUAUUUUCCAGAACACAGUUGUUUUGCCUGGAAUAGGUAGCAAGAAAUUAUUCCUUAGCAAUUUCUGUGAUUUGUGGCAUCUCUCCCAUUUAAUGUUUUGUAUCUGCAGAAUUUGCUUCCUGAAAAAUUGCAAUCCCUGGUCAUUUUCUAGAUGUUUUGUCUGGAGGGGGUGAAAAGAGUGUGGCUGGUGAAUCUGUUGGUUGGACAGCUGAGGGAAGCACCAUCAAUGAAAGAUAAUGUCAAAUAAAAUGUAUUAAUCUU